CACAAAUGAAAAGCCAAAUCACUUUUAGGUCUCUAUUCUGCGCCUCCAGAUGAAAUUCUAGUAGUAGAAAUUACAAAAUUGAGUUUCUGAAAUGAUUUGUAGAUCAAGGAAGAAGAUGAAGAAACAAGAAGAAAAAAAGUUAUUCAAUUAUUCUAACCCUUCAAAUCCAAAUACUGAAUCACAAGAAGAAAUUAAUAAGAAAAAGUGGUUUGAUUUCGAUAAUCAUCGGUAUGAGCGGACUCGGAAAUGGGGUUAUGUAAUCCUAUCUUGUUUCAAUAAGGUCAUCCCAUGUUCUCAGCUUUCCAUCGCCAUUUUUGCCGGAUCUGAUAGUGGACGAGAUGGAUGUUGCGGUACAAGAGAUUUCGAGAUCUUAUUGUACAAAAUGGUCGGCCAGAAACAUCCAUUCAACAUAAGGCUCAAGGAUAAGUUAAUUAUACACAUACAUGAAGAAAUCUAACUAAAGGUUAGGAGUCCUCGUCAUAAAAGGGGCGGUAAGAACAAGUCAUUGAGGCUAAUACUAGUAAGAAGAACAAGGAAAUGGAAAAGCACAAUUCAAAACACACAUGUUGUAUAUUGACAAAGAUGCUUUAUGCUGUUUUAGCAGGUGAAAGAGCCUACCCUUCAAACCAUGAAGCGUGAGCCCAGCUCAAUUGUUUCUGACAGGGACAAAAUCUUUGUGAGCAGUUUUUGGCGGGAGCUUUUUGGGACAUUGGGUACUCAGCUACAUUUGAGCACAGGGCAGACUGAAAGUACAAGUGCUUGUCCGGAGUAAUAUCUCAGAUGCAUGACUAGCAGUACCCCAAAGCGGUGGACUAAUUGGAUUGCUUAUUUGCUUUGGCAGAGUGGUGGUUCAAUAUCAACUACCAUACAAGUCCCAAGAUGUCACCUUUUCAGGCCUUGUACGGCUACAAGCCUCCUCACUUGGCAUUUCCAAUUCAGAUCCAUACUACCAAAGAGAGUCAGAACUAUGCAGGCUAUGCUAUGGGCGGAAGAACUCUACUUGCAACAUGUGUGUUUUGAGUUGGAUGCUCAGAAUGUAGUGGCAGCAGCUAAAGGAGACUACCAGCAAGUCAGAUGGGAAUUGCAGAGCUUGGUUAUUUCCAGAUUAGUAGAAGUUGGAUUCAGCAUCCACCAAACUUUAUAAUGGAAGCAUUACAUGCUGACAUGAAUGGUGCAACUAUUUCCAACAUUUAAUAAAAUUUCUGUCUUUGUAUCAAAAAAAAAGAUGAGUCAGAACUAUGCAGCCCCCAUGAGUCCAUGACAACUCUUGUAUCAACUUACUGAAUAUUCGGUCCUCCAUGGGCUAGUUGGGACUUCUUUUUUUUAAUCUACAUCGAUACCAUAUGAGUUGCCCUUAUCGGGUAUGUAAACUAAACAUCCAUCAAAACAAGUUGGGGUGUAAAUAGUAAAUGCAAUCGACCCAAAACCCUAUUUCACUUUCCAAUCCCAAAAGGAACCCCUCUUCCAUUUAGGUCUGCUCUGCGAUUUGCUCCUCCAAAAUUGAUAUUCCAGUAGAAACGUCAAAAUCCGAUUUAGAGAUGAUCUGUUGAUUAAGGGAAGGAAGAUGAAGAUACAAGAAGAAGAAGUUGUUAAAUUUGAGUUCUUAGUGAUUCAGAUUCAGAAUAACAAGAAGAGGAAGAAAAGGAAAAAAAAUUGUGUUAGAUUUGGAUAAUAUAGAGCGUACUCGGAAAUUGGAUUUAUAUAAUUUCGAACGAUCAGCACUUAAGAACAUCUUCUUCGAGGUGGAUUGAAAUGAAAAUCGUUUAUGUAUUGUUUUUACUAUUAGCUCGCAUAAAUGGUAUAUCAAUCAACCCCUUCGCUUCCCUUCCAUGUAAUAGUAUUGUAUCUAUCUUACAGUUUCUGCUUUUUGUCAAUACCCAAAAUCUGAUAUCACUGUAACAAUCCGGGAAAUUAAAAACAUCUCAAGAACUUACCCAUAUCAUUCAAAACAACAACAUCUCAAUGUCUAUGGAGGUGUUUCUAGGAUGAAGAAUCAUCCACUGAAGAAGCUGAAUCAAAUGAAGAAUUAUGAAAUGUAGAGAGGAAUUGGUGAUCAAGCAUGCAUAUUGCAUGAUCUUUAAUCAGAAUGGAAGAGGAGAGGACGAAUUCCAAUUUCAAUGUAAGGGCACGAAAUUUAUGAUCCAUUUGAAAUUUUGAAUGGGAAGAAACAAUGCUGAAACAUCUGCAAGAAGUUGGGUUGCAUUCGUUGUAUGGUUAUUGCAGAUGUAAAGAAGAGCUAUGAUUAGUCUAUGACUACAUGCCUAAUGGAAGCUUAGACAAUUUCAUUUUCCGACGUCGCUCACAAGAUGGCUCGGUGAAAACAAUGCUGGAUUGGAGUCAAAGGUUUCAGAUCAUCAAAGGUACAGCCUCUGGACAAGUUUAUCUACAUGAAGAAUGGGGAAAAGUUGUGAUUCAUAGAGAUAUCAAGUCAAGUAAUGUUUUAUUAGAUGAUGAGAUGAACCCAAGAUUAGGCGAUUUUGAUCUUGCAAUGUUAUUUGAUCAUGGAACCUGUGAUGCUCCAACUUCUAGACUUGCACCAGAGAUGAUUAAAAGCGGAAUGGCGUCAACUAGCACUGAUAUUUAAAAGUGGAAGAGACCAAAAGAGCUUAAAACAGCCUUAACAGGUGAAGGUUUUAUUUAUCUUGUGACUUGGCUCUGACAAAUUGGAGGAAGGGCAUAAUUCUUGAGACAGCUGAUCCAAAUUUAGGAAGUGAAUUCGUGGUUGAACAGAUGGAAUUGGCUCUGGAACUUGGGUUGUUUUGUACUCAUACUGAUCCCGAGCGCAGGCCAACUAUGAGACGAGUUGUGCAGUACCUAAGCGGAGAUCUUACUCUGCAGCAAACAGAUAUGUCAGCUCUGGAGACUAGCGAUCAUUUUGGCUUUUGGCUUAAUUAAGCUGGUUUUUUUUUUGCUUGAUAAAUUAGCAAAACUGUGUGAUUAAGCAAAAUAAAGUCAUCUUGUGAAUGGUGGAUUCUGUUUAUUUUUUUUUCUUCUUACAAUUGCCGCUCUUUUGGGCUCAAGAAAGCUGUGAAUGGACCAAGGCCACACAUUGGCCGUUGAUUGAUAGGAGUUGCCUUUAUCUUGCAGUCAGUGGUAGUAAUCAAACGGAACCCAAAUGUUGGGUGGAAUUAUCCUUAAAUAUAUAAUCCUUAUAUCAACUUUCCGAAGGACUCAAAUGGAAAAAGCCAAUUCCUUUUUUAGAUCUGAAAUCAGUGCCUCAUGGUGGAAAUGAAAUUCCACUAGAAAAUUAACAAAAUUUAGUGAGAUCACUAGCUCUAUUCUCCACACAGUGAUUGAAAAAGCUUCCAGAGACGAUCUGUAGAUUGAAUUAGGAAAUGAAGAUGAGGAAGAAACGAGCAGAAGAUAUGGAAGAAGAAGAAGAAAAAAGGAAAAAGAACGGUUUGGUUUGUCCAAUUGAUAUGAAUGGACUCGGAAAUGUUGUUUUCAGGUGGUAUAUUCAGUUGCAACUUGGACUUUAACGAACACUGAGAUCCCCUCUCUGUGUAGAACCGUGGGCUUUCACAAAAGAGGGUUAUGUCUUUCCAUUGGAGAGAUGGUUGCACAAAGAGAAAAAUUUCUCAUAGGUAUAACUUGAAUUUAUAGGGAUUGAUCAUUCAUCAUUUGAGUUUAUCUGUUCUAUUUAGAUCUUAAUAUUUAUUGUGUUGUUUUUCCUGUACAACUUGAAUUUAUGGGGGAUUGAUCAUCCCAGCCUUUGGAACUGAAAAAUAUAACAUGUCUAUUGGUCUAUUACAU